CCUACGGGUGGCAGCAGUGAGGAAUAUUGGUCAAUGGACGAGAGUCUGAACCAGCCAAGUAGCGUGAAGGAUGACUGCCCUAUGGGUUGUAAACUUCUUUUAUAUGGGAAUAAAAUGUUUCACGUGUGGGAUUUUGUAUGUACCAUAUGAAUAAGGAUCGGCUAAUUCCGUGCCAGCAGCCGCGGUAAUACGGAGGAUCCGAGCGUUAUCCGGAUUUAUUGGGUUUAAAGGGAGCGUAGGUGGAUUGUUAAGUCAGUUGUGAAAGGUUGCGGCUCAACCGUAAAAUUGCAGUUGAAACUGGCAGUCGUGAGUCCAGUAGAGGUGGGCGGAAUUCGUGGUGUAGCGGUGAAAUGCUUAGAUAUCACGAAGAACUCCGAUUGCGAAGGCAGCUCACUGGACUGCAACUGACACUGAGGCUCGAAAGUGUGGGUAUCAAACAGGAUUAGAUACCCGGGUAGUC
rnacentral:rRNA from 1 species